rnacentral:lncRNA from 1 species
GUUAUUAUUACCUGAGACCCUGAAAGGAAGCACUAAAGAAAUGAAGACAGAGGAAUACCAGGAGAGAAAGGAGGUCCAGUUAGACCUAAAGGUGGGCAAGAAGAAGAAGAAGAGGAGUUUGGAUGCUUCAUCUCUGCUGAGACCCAGUGCCUGGCACUGAAGGUGCUCAGGAAAUACCUUCUGAAUGAUCGGAAGCCCCUGCCAUCUGCUAAACUGGAUCUAUGAUGACAGAAGCCGAGGAAUGUGAGGUUCAUCUAGAGAGUUCUUGUGAAUUUUCCAAGGGAGGCACCUGUUGAAUUCAGGCAUCGGCAUGUGACUUGAUUUGGUCAAUGAAAUGUGAGAGAAGUGACAUCCACUUUGAGGCAGGCACUUUCCGAGUUGCCCCGACGGCCACUCUCCAUACUGCUGCCAGAAGAACCUUGAAAUAUCGCUCUUUUUAAUUAAAAAGCAAAACUCUUCAAAAAAAAAAAAAAAAAA